AUUUAUUUAUUUAUUUAUUUAUUUAUUUAUUAUUAAAGCGAGAACUGGCUAAGUUUGGUAUUUGCGAUUAUUUUUAUCGGGCUGAGAAAAGAGCCGGUCACUCGGUAUUUCGUCACCAGUUUUUUUAGACGAAUAACUGCAUCGUCAGCCCGUUUAUGUCAACAAGUAUAGGUGAGUCACGGUCACGCGCGACGCUCGGCCGCCAGCAAUUCGGGGGGUCCGACGACCAACGGGGCGUGGACGGAGGCCAAUGUUGCCGGACGCGUCGUUCCAUCAUUGGACGCUUGGCUCCUAUCUGUUCGUUUAUUGGUCGAUAGAACGCCCGCCCGAUAGCGUUUCGUUCCAGCGAAGAUCGUAAGGAUUUUCUUGCGCUGGUUUGCCGGGUUUGGCGAAUUUUGGGAGCCAAAGACAAGAAUCUGCGGAUAAGAGCGAUGGUCUCCGCCAAUGGUUCUCUGCCGCCGGGUCGCGCUGUUGGCCGGAGAAGCCCACCUGUCAGGACGAACGGCCUUAGCCGGUUUCUUGCCUUCUGUUAGCUGUACACUCGCGAUGCGUCGGUCAGAUGGUUGCGUGUUGCGUCAUAAAAGUGUCGAAAACAGAAGUCGUCCAUCGUAAAAUGUAAAAUAAACCCAGAGCGGCAGACGGAGGUCGUAAUCGGAAAUUUUAUGACCGCCGUUACAGGUAAGGCCUGUGUGGACUGGCGGGUCGUCACCCGCUUUAUUUUCUACUUGUUUGGGAGUGUAGAAGACGCGCGCCGCCUUUCUUUGUCCGGUGUUUUUUCUCCUGCAUCUGACAAGAUUCUUCCAUCCCAGGUGAUUUUUUACCGUCUCAUGUGGAAAGUAGUUUUUCCGAACGGUAGUCUGUGGGAAAUCGUUCCAACUGGGUAAAAAUCUUUCGCUUCGGAAAGAAUUCGUUUACCGAAUUAAAAGCUCGUUUGUAUCUGGAAACGAUUCUUCCAGAAAACUGCUUCUCACUUGCAAGGGUUUCGGUUCUAAUCUAUGUUUUUUCUUCUCUUUGCAGGCUAAGAGCGGCUGUUGACCGAUCAUGAACGAAGAUGAUGGUCCUGGCAACGGUACGAAGGUGUCGGCUACUUCGAUCACGGACAACGGCGACACUGCCAAUGGCAGCAGCAACGACAGCGCCUCUCUGUCGCACCGGGUGCCGUUGCCAGGUAACAAGCGGGUACAGGUGAUGGGUGCAAUUAUUGGACCGGAAGCGGUUGCGAGUAAAACGAUGACGGGUGAACUACAGACGGGUCUUGCCAUCAGCGGCACCUUCAAUCCCCUCCUUCUGGGGAGCGGAGAAACCAAUAGUACAAAUCUGGACGAUGGAGUGAGUACCAGUUCCUGCAACAACAACAAUAACAACAACAACGCCAACAGCGGCAACAGUAACGAAAGCAAAUCGG
rnacentral:lncRNA from 1 species